GAACAGCAAGACAUUCUGCUGUCACUGUCCUAGGCCAUGCCAGAGCUCUGUCGCAGUGGUGCAUCAUAUUGAAGAACAAAAUCAAAGCUGGGUCUUCAGAACACUUGCUCGGGAGCCAGCCCAUCUUGGCUCAUUCUGGUCAUGAGAUAUAGGUCUGGAGGUGCUUUGGAGGACAAGAUGAGUGACAGUUUCUCCUCUCCCCAUCUGUGGAAGUGAAGAGUGAGCGGGUACCAGGACCUCAGGACGCCAGACCCAGAUGCUACUCAGAAGAUGACCACAGCCACUGCAAAGGAAGAUGGGAUUGAAAGACACAGGAGAGACCCCAACCUCUUAGUUCCCAAGAAUUACAGAGAUGGAAAUGGAGAGGUGCCUGAGGAAAAGAAGGUCCAGCAACAGGCCCAAAGUGAGAUCCAGCUCAAGAGGAGGUCCCAAGGCCUGACACUAUUACUGAGGCUAUGGAGCAUUCACAUAAAGGGACCUAGCAUGACUGCCCUAUGAAACACCCCAAAACAGCUGAAAGAGUCAGACGCAGGUAUUUGUACCCAACCAAUGGACAGAAGCAGCUGACCCCUGUUGUUGAAUUAGGGAAGGCUGAAAGAAGCUGAGAAGGCGAUCCUGUAGGAGAACCAGCAGUCUCAAUUAAUCUGGACCCCCGAAAUCUCUCAGACACUGGACCACCAAACAGACAGCAUACACCAGCUGAUAUGAGGCCCCCAACACACAUACAGUAGAAGACCCCUGGGUCUGAGUUCAUUCAGAGAUGAUGCACCUAACCCUCAAGAGUCUGGAGGGCUCAGGGAGUUUAGAGGUCAGAUGGGGUUGGGGGUGGGGACAUCCACGUGGAGACAGGAGGAAGUAUGGGAUGUGGAACAGUAGGUGGGUGGAUUGGGGGGAGAUAAAAUAUGGAGUAUAAAAAUGAAUUAAUUAAAAUUUUAAAAAUUAAAAAAAUAAUUUUUUUAAAAGAAAGACACAGGAAGUAGGACUUGCUAUUGCACUAGGAUAGCAUAGCAUUCAUAUUGUUUGGUCUUUGGAACUCCUUAAGGUAACAUUGUCCUUUGACGUCUCCAAGCUUUUGUUUGAUCUAUCUAGAUCUCUACUUAAAAUAAAAUAAAUCAAGUUGAAA
rnacentral:lncRNA from 1 species